GACGAACGCUGGCGGCGUGCUUAACACAUGCAAGUCGAACGGAAAGGCCCUGCUUUUGUGGGUUGCUCGACUGGCGGACGGGUGAGUCACACGUGACUAACCUUCCCUUUACUUUGGGAUAACUUCAGGAAACGCGAGUUACUACCGGACAUGAUCUCCUGCUGCGUGGAGGGGGUUGGAAAGUUUCGGCGGUUGGGGAUGGACUGGCGGAUUACUAGCUUGUUGGUGGGGUAGUUGCUUACCAAGGCAUUGACCGGUAGCCGGCACGGGAGGGUGGCUGGCCCCAUUGGGACUAAGUUAGGCACAAGAGCCCAAGGGGGGGCAGCGGUGGGAAAAUUUGCACAUUGGACGGAAGCCGGAUGAGGAAACGCGGGGUGCGGAAGGACGGCCUUCGGGUUGUAAACCGCUUCAGCUUGUGACUAAGCUGUAGUGACGGUAACGGGUGAAGAAGCACCGGCUAACUACGUG
rnacentral:rRNA from 1 species